GUUCUUGAUUCAGCAGCAUAUGUACUAAAAUUGGAACAAUACAGAGAAGAUUAGCAUGGGCUCUGCAGAAGGAAGACAUGCAAAUUUGUGAUGCAUUCCAUAUUUUU